rnacentral:lncRNA from 1 species
AUGGUGUUGAUCGAGAUUGAAGAAGAUGGAGAAAAUAAGUUCAAUCAAGGUGGAGAUCAGUAGGUUUGAUGGAAAGAGCGAUUUCUUCUUUUGACAGUUGAGGGUGAAGGAUAUGCUCAUCAAGCAAGGGUUGAUCGAUGCUCUCUUGUACGAAAAGUUAUCGAUUAUUAUAGAGGUGAUAGUUUGAAAGUGGUUCCAGAUACAGAUGGUGAGUAUGAUCUGCUUGUACC